rnacentral:rRNA from 2 species
UGCAAGUCUGGUGCCAGCAGCCGCGGUAAUUCCAGCUCCAAUAGCGUAUAUUAAAGUUGUUGCAGUUAAAAAGCUCGUAGUUGAACUUUGUGUCUGUUUGGCCGGUCCGAUUUUUUCGUGUACUGGAAUCCCAAGCAGACCUUUCCUUCUGGCUAACCUUGGGUCCUUGUGGCUCUUGGCGAACCAGGAUUUUUACUUUGAAAAAAUUAGAGUGUUCAAAGCAGGCGUAUUGCUCGAAUAUAUUAGCAUGGAAUAAUAGAAUAGGACGUUUGGUUCUAUUUUGUUGGUUUCUAGGACCAUCGUAAUGAUUAAUAGGGACGGUCGGGGGCAUCAGUAUUCAAUUGUCAGAGGUGAAAUUCUUGGAUUUAUUGAAGACUAACUACUGCGAAAGCAUUUGCCAAA